UAGGUUGCAUGGAAUAGAUAAGUAAAUCUUUGAGUGAAUGGGUGGUUGUUCAGGUAGAUGUUAGGCUGUUGUUCAGGUGGAUGUUCAGGUGUAGUAGCAAACCAGCUUUUUAGGACAAACCAACCAACCAACCUCAGUUUGUAUUAUUAGUCAGUUUCCACUGUGUAAAUACCCCCACCAUGACUGCAAAGUUUCUGAGCUCUCAUGAGCCAGUAGGAGCUGGCUCUAGUAACCUGUAUGUGUGUAUAUAUAAAUAUGUUUUGUUUUGUUUUGUUUUGUUUCGAGACAGAGUCUCACUCUGUAAUCCAAGCUGGAGUGCAGUGGCACAAUCACAGCUCAUUGCAGCCUCAACCUCCUGGGCUAAAGUGAUCCUCCCACCUCAGCCUCCCAAGUAACUGGGACCACAGGUGCAUGCCAUCAUGCUGGCUAAUUUUAUUUUUUGUAGAGAUGUGGUCUCACUAUGUUGCCCAGGCUGCUCUUGAACUCCUGGACUCAAGCAAUCCUCCUGUCUCAACCUCCCAAAGUGUUGCAAUCACAGGCAGGAGCCACCAAGCCCAGCUCAAUAACCCAUAUUUAAUAUGAGCUCUCAGGUUUCUAUUGCAAAUGUGCCACACAGCCAUAGACAACCUCAACUGUGGUGCAAGUGAGAAUAUUUCAAUCCUGAGAAGGUCACAGCUGGAGUGGAGCUUGGAGAUUAAAACCGCUUUUAUAAAACUUAUGACGGUGAAAAAAAUCUGACAUAAAAAUAUUUAACAGCAAAAAAAAUCGAUAUAACUGACUCCAUCUUACUUCUAACCUCACAAGCUAACUGUCUUCAUUCAUGCCUGGACAUAGACCAAACUAACUAUUCAAAAAUUGAGUUAAUAGUUUAAGACAAAAAUAGUUAACAGUCCUUUCCUGAAACUAACCCCUUCUUUACUGAGAGACCAAAACUGCCUUUAUAAAAUUAUGACUCCAGAGAAAUAUAGCCAGAGGUUACAGAACUUGUAACCUCCCCAGCGACUCCUAUAGAUAACAUCGCUACUGUCAAAACCUAAAAUUGGCCUUUAAAAUAUUUUUUGAACUUUUACAUUCUGACGAUUCUACCCAGACCUGCGACUCAUAGCAAAAAACUAAUUCAACCAGUCCUAUAACCCCCACCCCGAAACUGCCUCAAUAUAAAAAAGCCAGCUUCGACUUCCUGUAAUUUCAUCCCCAAUCCAACCAAUCAACAUUUCCCUCUCCCUAGCCCCCUGCCCGCCAAACUAUCCUUA
rnacentral:lncRNA from 1 species